CUAGCCUGUGGCCGCUCCAGAGCCAGGCUGACGUUCAGGUCGUGCCAUGGGAAGAACUGAUUCCCAGGCUUCAGAGUCUAACCUUUCUCAACUGAAUCCCCCGAAGACAGAGCCCCCACCUGGGUCGCCUCCAGGAACUGCCCAUCACUAAAGAAAGCAGUGUUGGCUGAGUUCACACCACGUCCUGGGGCGGCUGUGUGCCACAGCUGGUCUCACCAACAGCUACCGAGGACCGUGGGCUCCGGAGUCCCAGUGGGAACUCAGCAUCCUGCAAUAACAGACACUCCUCACCACACCCCGCCAGACUCUUCGGACUGUAGCUCUCUUUGUGACCCCAGGGACUGUAGCCCUCGGGGCUCCUCUGUCCAUGGGAUUUCCCAGGCAAGAAUAAUGGAGGGGGUUGCCAUUCCCUUCUCUAGGGUAUCACCCUUACCCAAGGCUCAAACCCAGGUCUCCUGCAUCACAGGCAGAUUCUUCACCAUCUGAGCCACCAGGGAAGCUUGUCAAGUCCAGCACUUUUCAUAAAGACACAGGACAGUUUUGGCAGAAGUCAGACCUCCCAUCAUCCCUGUGUAACUCGGCUGGUGGCCUUCCACCGGGGACAACCUGUGGACGGCCAGUGAUAGAAGCAGCCCAAACAGAGGCGUCCUUGGAGGACAGAGGCCUGGGACUCAGAUACGCUUGCAAGACAAACCACCGUGGUGUUAAGACUCUACAGCAGCCAUCCUUCAGUGAAUUUCCCUGGCAAAAAAAAAAUCUCCAUUUAGAAUUGCCUUUGAAAUUUACUUGGAAUAUUGGCAGUGCUAUGAAACCAUCAUCCUCUGAAUACGAAUUAAUUCACUGAUCCAGAGUCGACUCAUUGGAAAAGACCCUGAUGCUGAGAAAGAUCGAGGGCAGGAGGAGAAGGGGACGACAGAGGAUGAGAUGGCUGGAUGGCAUCAUGGACUCAAUGGACGGCCGUACUCUAAGGCACCAGCAAAACAGACUCUCAGCUGCUUGCAGAGAAAACAGCCCGGUCUCAAGGACGGAAGGAGCCAUGUCAAGUUACCUCUCAUUCAGAGCAGAGUGUUUGGAAGGAGCUCCUUAAGCAGAGUGUCCGUCUCCCUGUAAGGACAGCGAUCCCUGUCACCAGUAUGGCCUCUUUCUAACCUGAUCACACCUGCGAAGACCCUGUCUCAGAGGGCCCAUAGUCACAGGGCCCACGGUAGGAACACACCUUGGGGGAAACUCCAUUCAAGCAGCAGUAGAACCACAACAAGGUGAAGAGGAAGCAGGGAGGAAAUGGAAGCGGCACGAGGACCCCGAUAUCCUCGUCUUCACUCGGAAGAGACAGCUGAUCUGUUCUCAAGUGGAGACGGGCAGUAUCGACGUGGGGGGUUGUACCAGAUAACAUACAACCAAGCUGGAGCUGAUAAGCCCUCUGGAAUCCUGCACCACAGGAGGUGCAGGGUGUCCAGUUUUCAAGGACUACAUCUUUUGUUUCUCUUUCACACCCAGCAGCCUGACUCUGGGAGGUUAUUUCCAGACAAAGCUGAGGGGGAGAGGGCACAGCAGCCUGCAGUUGGGCUGACCGUGUAAAGAAUGGGAAGAUGAGUCCCUUCUUUUUCUCUGGAGUGUAUUUUACGCCCUCUGAUCUAAAGUCACAUUCUCCGGCUACUCAAAGAUCCCAUCCUUGGACCGCAGAAUCUGCCGGUGGAAAGCCUGGGGCGACGCCGCCAGCUCUUGGGGCCCAGGCCCGUUCCUGAACAGGUGUUGUUACACUUGGGGCCCAGCUCCUUCCCUGCACACGCGUCGUUGCUCUGACAGACGCAGCUGCUCAGCAGUGAGCGGACGCUGGUGCAGACAGAUGCCACGGGGCGUGCGGGACGUCCACACUCCAUCACCCACAGAGAGUCUGACGUCCCCCGCCCCCCGGCAUGGCCCCCUCCAACCUGUUGGGAGGCCGCACAGAGGACUCAGGUUUAGCCCAGACCUGGCCUCUGCCUUCACUAACAGGCCCUUGGGGAGGCAGCAGGGGCUGCAUCCAUCCAGCCGGAGUGGCUCCCUCCCUCCGUGUGGUCGGCAUUCCGCUCAGUCCAGACCUGGGGUCUCGCAGGGGCCCCCACCGUCCAGUCCUGUCCUGACCCAUCGUGGAGCCGGUCAGGGGCAGAAGCCACCCGCUGGGACGUCUGGCUCUGGGACCUUGGGCCCUGGCUGCCCAGCUGGGCUGCUCUUUAAUCUGGGCUGCCAAGAGCUGGGGAUAAUGACCUCGUGGAACUCGGGUCUAGUCCUGGCACCAGCAGGAACCCAGAUGGGCCCCAUUCCCAACUGCUGGUGGUCUCUGUCACACACACACACACACACAGAGCACAGAUGCACGCACACACUCCAGUUGCCUUCGGAGCACAGCACCGAGCAGUCAGCAACGCUGGACCCCACUCACCGGGACUCCGGCCCGGAUGGGCCCCCGCCCCACCUCGGGCGCACCCCCCGUGCACACGGCCUCCCCCACCUCCCCCGAAAGCUCCCUGCUGUUCCUACCGGUUCCCACCUCAGCGCCUCUGGGACCGACUGAGGAACAGCAUCCGUUUCCCGAGCCCCGUUUCCUUCUGUCCCUGACCUGAGCCUUCCUCUGCGCCCACAGGAUGUAUUUCUGUGUCCUUCCCAGAGCAGCGCUGUCUGUGUACAAACUCCCCAGAACCUCUGCCGAGGACUCCAGCUCCCUGGAGCCCUGGGCCGUGCUCUGUAAGGCCAGGAGUUAUCCAGUCCCCAAGGCUGCUGCUGUUUCUCCCAGUUUUACUGUGGCCAGAGGCUGGUGGCCGGCUGGCACCUCACGAGCCCCACCCAAGCAGCACCCACUGUUGCGAGGAUGCCGUGGGGAGGAGCCUGAGGACCACGUUCCAGGAGCCGCGCCAGCAUCGAGCUGCAAGAACAGUACCAAGAAUUCCCACAUAUUCUUUACCCAGUUCUCCAUUGUUAACAAUGACCACAUUUACUUUACAACUCCUCCCGACAGUUAUAUGCAUACUUCUAUUUUUUGUAUGUGUGAACAAUUUUAGGGUCAGUAGCAGGACGUUCUUUUCCCCUAAAUGUUCCAUCGUGUGUUUUGCAAGAACAGGAGUGUUCCCUGACACACCGACAGUACGAUGAUCAGGUCAGGUGAUUUGACCUUGAAGCAAUACUGUGAUCUAACCCACCGUGCGGACUCCACCCUCAGUGGUCCCCUUUCCCGGACCCACACAGGGCGGCACGGUGCCGUGGGUUAAAGGUCCUCGUCGUCUCUCUUCAUCUGGAGAAGGUGGCCGUCCCUUCUUUGUCCGUAAGGACACUGAGCAUCUUCAGUGCUGUUGACGGAGAGUUGACGACCCUGGCAUUGGUGAAGAGGACAGGCCCCUCUCUUGGGGAUGCUCUCAGUUUGACUUUGCAGACAUGCCCUCUCACGGGAUGAGAUGUGGGAUUUGCAUUUUGGCGGGAGCAGCGCCUGAGAGAUGUGGUCUCUGUGUAUCCCCUAGGCUGUCGGUCCGACCUAUCACUGCCAGCAAAGGCUUUCCUCACCUGGCCAGGUAGCGUCUGCCAGGUGUCUUUCUUUGCUUGUUUGUUCUCAGUGACAAAACCCAGGAACAAACUUGUUUCUUUAAAAAUCUUUUUUUUUUUUUUUUUGGCCACACCGCAUGGCUUGUGGGUUCUUGGUUCCCUGACCAGGCAGGGAACCCGUGCCCUUGGCGGUGAAAACACAGAGCCCCAGCCCCUAGACUGCCAGGGAAGCCCCAGAUCGCUACGUGCUAAAGAUGUGGGUCGUCUAUGAAUAAGUGCAUAGGUUUAAUAUAAUCUCCCCAAAUGACCUAAAGAGUUUCCUUCCUUCACAAACAGACAAGCAGAUUCACUCAAAAUAAACAAGUAAGCACAGUCCAGCAAGACUCUAAAGCAGGAGAGACAAACACAGAGGCAUCUGUCUCCCCGGUCUUAAAACCUUCCCAAGGCCUCGGUGAUUAAUACAGAAUAUGAAUAGGCACACGGCCCACUGGAACAGCAGAGAAAGCCCAGAAAUAGCCCCGCGUGCCCAUGGGACAUUAAUAUAUGACAAAUGGGGGCAAAAGGGGAUCUUGUGGUAAACAGCAUAGGGAACAGUGGCUAGUUGUUGGGGGAAGGGAAGCGGUGACCACCCAGAGUCCAUCCAGAGAGACCCCAUGGCAAAGCUGUCAAUGGGAAAAUAAGCCCCUGCAAGUGCUGCCAGAGGGUCUGGAAAUGGGCCUGAUCUAUGCCCCCCGCGUCCACCACACAGAGUUCAGGCCCCUCGCUGCCUCAUUCUGGGCCCUGGGCUGCUGCCCACGGGGACACCACCCGAGGCAGGCUUCUCCCAGCAUGGAGCUAUGGCCAGACAGGGCGGCGCGAGGAACGUGAGGGUGGGGUGCUCGCUCCUGGUCCCGCCAGACGGGGGCCCCUCUCGGGCAGCCUGGUCUACACGGCUCCCGCCCUCCAGGCUGCAUGACUCCUGCCUCCCUGGGGACCCAGGGUGACGGCCUCUCUGCUGCUUCGGGGCCCCCGUUCUCGCCCUGCCCCUGGCCCCCCCCCAAAACUUGCCCAGGCCCUGUCACUAGUCCCUUUGUAUGUAACCCCUACUUGAGUCACCAGACUUUGUGUGUGUCCCCUGUAAUUCCUGUUGGGACUCUGAAUAGAAUAACCUUGGAAUUGACAGACAUAUGGAACUAUGUCUCAAAACACAGAGAUGAAUAAUUGCAAGCAUAGGGACUCCAGGGUGGUCCAGUGGUUAAGGCUUCGCCUUCUAAUGCUGAAGGUGCCCGUUCAAUCCCCAGUCUGGGAGCUAAGACCCCAUGAUCCUCCCAGCCAAAGAGCCAAGAAACAGAAGCAAUAUUGUAACAGAUUCAAUAGGGACUUUGAAAAUGGCCCACAGUUUUAAAAAACUGCAAAUGUGAGCAACAGCCACUUCCAUACAGAAAAGCAAACCAAAGCGCAACACAGAAGGGAAAGCACAGAGGGCAAAACCUGGGGAAAAGAAUGGCACCUCACGACACAGAGAAGUGUUUUUCUCCAAAAUACACAAAGAGCUCUCGGAGAUGAAAGCAAGAAAGACCACAAGACCAACAGAAAAGCAGGCCGAGGUCACAGGCAGGUCACAGAACAAGAAAUACACAUGGUUCAAAACACGUGCAAGCCCGACAGUCAGAGACCCCUGCGGUAGGAGUGCAGCAGGGUCCAGGCGCUCAUCGGCCAGCUGGGAGGACGGCGGGCGUCUGACUGAGCUCUCUGGCGUUGCGGGGCCAGGGUGCCCAGGCUGUUGUCCUUUCUCGGUGGAUGUGCCCAUCUGCCUGUGAGGGGCACAGCCAGCAAGACGUCCAACGGCCUUUCCCCGACUCCGUGAUCUGCUCCCAGGGCUACCCCUGAUGCGGGGGCACUGACCUCUGACCAGGUGGCUCCCCGCAGGAUCGUCUGUGAUUCCAAAACACGUGCAAACCAGCAAGUGGCUGAACCCAAGGGCCAGGCUAGGCCACCCGAUGACUUACCAGGGCCUGUCUCUGCAAGGGGGAAGAGGACGCUCCCUUGAGCUAAAAGCCAAGUAUUCCCUGGGCACUUGGCUAGGGGAAAACAGAGUAAGUGCAAAAAGCAUGGUGCAUUUGGUGUGCCAAUUCUGGGGUAAGAAGGUAGGAAGUAAGAACAUGCAUGUCUUUGGUCUUGAGUUUGCACAGAGAAGGGAGACCGAAGGCACGAGGAGGUUGGGGUGGACGAGGGUGCAGGGUGGGGGCCAGGCCGGGCAGGAAGGAGGUGUCUCAGCACCGACCUCCCCUACUGCUUCAGUCCAUGAACGGGGUGCUUAUGCCCAAGGACAGAGAAUAAAGGUGACGAGGAUGAAGGCGAGACGGAGAAAUCGACCACGCUGCAGAGUUUGAGAGCACGGUGACUUCUCCGUGAGGGUGGCAGGGCCGCAGCCUCCGAAGCCAGCAGUGAAGAGCACGGGACUCAGGAUAAAAGGGACCUUGGCUUGGAUCUUGGCAUUUCUGCCUUCCUGCUGGACGCUGACCUGACCUCCCUGAGCUCAGUGUGCAUGGCUGGGCAACGGGUCUCUCAGCCCUGAUGUCACAGAGUCCUGAGGAUGCAUUAUGUCAUCGACGUCCUUGCAAAGUGCUGGCUCAUAGGAAAUACAAGACAUUAUUGUUUCUAUAGCUUUUAGCAGAUGUGUCAAGAGGUUAGAAUUUAAUUGCCCGUGUAAACUCUUCUUACCAAAAAUUCUCCCUCGAAAAUGAAAUUAUUGUCUUCCAAAUAUACACUGAGACUUCUAUUUUGAGAAGCGUGGCUGAGGGCUCUUUCCUCACUGUGGCUCCAACAUUUAACAAGUGCACCCAGCGUGGGAACAUAUACAUGACCACGUGUAAAACAGACAGCUGGCGGGAAGUUGCAUAUGACACUGGGAGCUCAGACAGUGUGGGCUGCCCUGGUGGCUCAGCUGGUAAAGAAUCCACCUGCAAUUCAGGAGACCCCGGGUUGAUUCCUGGGCUGGGAAAAUCCACUGGAGAAGGGAUAGGCUACCCACUCCAGUAUUCUUGGGCUUCCCUGGUGGCUCAGCUGGUAAAAGAAUCCGCCCGCAAUGUGGGAGACCUGGGUUCGAUCCCUGGGUUGGGAAGAUCCCCUGGAGAAGGGAAAGGCUACCCACUCCAGUAUUCUGGCCUGGAGAAUUCCAUGGACUCUAUAGGCCAUGGGGUCGCAAAGCUUCAGACACAACUGAGUGACUUUCACUUCACUUUCAUGGUUGAUUCACAUUGUUGCAUGGCAGGAAUCAACCCAACGUUGUAAAGGAAUUAUCCUCGAAUUGAAAAUACAAUAAUUAUUAAAAAAAAAACAAAAAACCACAAGCAUGUCCUGGAGGCAGGAGGAGGUAUACGGUGCCGGGCUCCCCUCCCCGCUCCCGCCCCCCAGGGUCCCCUCUUCACUUCAUCCUCUCCUGUUUCUCCUGUCCUUUCCUCCCUCACGACUGCCUCCCUUCCCCCAGGCCUCUGCGGCCACAGAGGACCCGGCUCACGGCUCACGAGGCCUUCUGGUUGCCUGAGAGGUAGAUGUGAUUAUCUCCGUUUGGCUAAUGAGAACUUUUAAGUAACUUCUCUAAGGCUUCCCCAGUGGCUCAGAUGGUAAGGAAUCCGCCUGCAAUGAGGGAGGACCUAGGUUUGAUCUCUGGGUCAGGAAGAUCCCCUGGAGAAGGGAAUGACAACCCGCUCCAGUGUUCUUGCCUGGAGAAUCCCAUGGACGGAGGAGCCUGGCGGGCUACAGUCUAUGGGGUCACAGAGUCAGACGCGACUGAGGACUAACACUGAGACCCUGUAACUCUGACUUGAAGCCGCUGAGGAGUCGUGCCUGAGCACAGGGCUUACCGCCUUCUUCGGGAGGCUCGAGGGCCUCCCUGGGGACUUACCCGCCGGCAGAGAGGAAAAAAGGAACAGAUGGCCGGCCAGGUCUUCCCAGGAGAACUCUGUGCGCCUCCAGCAAAUCAGGACUCCAGACUGUCUGCUUUUUAUUUUCUCUUUCUCUUCCUUAGGGAGAAGGUGAGUCCCCUGGGUAGACAUGAAUAAAAAUCCAAGCUCCCUGAGGCCAGAGAACAGCAUUUGAAGAUCCUCUGGUUCCUCGGUGGAACCCAGUAAAGAUGAGUGAUGUGUAGAAUGCAUCCUGAAGGGACCGUGAGGGACUUCCUUCUCCCCGCGUGGUUCCAAGGUUGUAUUUCAACCGCCCCGGGCACAUGCCCACAGCCUCAGAGGCAGAAGGUACCCUGCUGGCCCCUUUGCUUUUGAAAAACAGGUUUCUUUCUCUCUCUUUUAAAAAUACUCCAAGUAUAGUUGAUUUAGUGUUGUGCCAGUCUGUGCUGUACAGCAAAGACUCAGUCACACACACGUGCGUUCUUUUUUAUAUUCUUUUCCAUUAUGGUUCAUCACAGGGUGUUGAGUUUCAGUGUAACACACUUGGACCUAGAGGUGUGUCCAUUCUAUGCGUAGCAGUCGGCUUCUGUCAACCCCAAACUCCCUGUCUCUCUCUCCAUCUGCACCCCCUCCCCCAGCAUCUAGAGUCUGUUCUCUAUGCCGAUGGGUCUGUUUCAAAGACAGAUUUCUUUUGAGGGUGACCUUGGCUUCCUUCAUAGAAAUCGAGGGGUAAGAAAAUCAACUGGGUCCUGUAGGUUUUCCCUUCAGACUGGGCAUCCUUCUAGCGGACCCCAGCUCAUCUGCCCAUUUCUUUCCCAGGUCGACGGUGUGAAGGUGAAUGAAGCGUUCCUGUUUCUGCAGUGAUGCUAGUCCUCAGUGAAGAGAACUGUUCACGGCUGGAACAGAAAUCUGCAGAGCAGAGGCAGAUUCUUUAUUCAGUGCCCCGGCUCACCACUGAAAAAUGCCUUUAAGAACCCUUGCUGCCAUGGGAGGUUGGCCUGAC
ensembl:lncRNA